rnacentral:rRNA from 1 species
CAAUAGCGUAUAUUAAAGUUGUUGCAGUUAAAAAGCUCGUAGUUGGAUUUCUGGGCUGGCCGGACGGUCCACCUCACGGUGAGAACUGGCUGGUCGGCCCUUCCUCUCGAAGUGUUGCGGUGUUCUUAACUGAGUGCUGUGGCAAUUCGGGACCUUUACUUUGAAAAAUUAGAGUGUUCAAAGCAGGCCUUCGCUUGAAUACAUUAGCAUGGAAUAAUGGAAUAGGACUUUGGUUCUAUUUUGUUUGGUUUCUUAGGACCGAAGUAAUGAUUAAUAGGGACGAGUGGGGCGAUUAGUAUUUAAUUGUUCAGAGGUGGAAUUACUUGGAUUUAUUGAAAGACUAACUAACUGCGAAG